rnacentral:rRNA from 1 species
CCUACGGGGGGCAGCAGUGAGGAAUCUUCGUCAAUGGGCGAGAGCCUGAACGAGCCAAGUCGCGUGAGGGAUGAAGGAUCUAUGGUCUGUAAACUUUUUUUAUAUGGGAAUAAAGUGAGGAACGUGUUCCUUUUUGUAUGUACCAUAUGAUUAAGCAUCGGCUAACUCUGUGCCAGCAGCCGCGGUAAUACGGAGGGUGCGAGCAGUAGCCGGAUUUGUUUGGGUUAAAGGGUACGUAGGUGGUUAAUUAUGGCAGCGAUGAAAGUUUCUGGCUCUACCAUAAGAUUGCCGUUGAAACUGGUUGACUUGAGUAUAUUUGAGGUGAGCGGAAUGCGUGGUGUAGCGGUGAAAUGCGUAGAUAUAACGCGGAACCCCGAUGGCGAAAGCAGCAUGCCGGCUUCCGACUGACGCUGAAGCACGAAAGCGUGGGGAUCGAACAGGAUUAGAUACCCUUGUAGUC